GGCUGGAUCACCUCCUUUCUCGAGCUUAUUUCCGCGAAGUUGAGCGCUCACGCUUAUCGGCUGUAAAUUAGGACAGACUCAGGGGUCUGUAGCUCAGUCGGUUAGAGCACCGUCUUGAUAAGGCGGGGGUCGUUGGUUCGAAUCCAACCAGACCCACCAAUUGUCUGGCGGAAAAACCUGAGUGUCUCUGUAUGGGGGCAUAGCUCAGCUGGGAGAGCACCUGCUUUGCAAGCAGGGGGUCGUCGGUUCGAUCCCGUCUGCCUCCACCAAUUGCGAUGAUCGUUGGCGCUUUAGCGCUUACGGGCAUCUCACUCCCGAAGGGAGCCCCAAUGGAUAAUGUUUGAUUGGGUUCGAGAGAACGAAUCGAAUCUUACCCAUUGGCGAUUGAGCCAGUCAGAGUGAUGCAGGAAACUGUAUCGGCUGUCGUUCUUUAACAAUCUGGAAGAAGCAAGUAAUUUGGAUAGCGGAAGCGUCGUUGAGAUGGACGUGGAAGCUAUCCGGGUUGUGAUUGUAUCGAUGUAUCUCAAGAUGAUUCGAACCGCAAGGUUGAACUCAUGCUUGGAAUACGGCACAACGCGAGAACUCAACCUGUAACGUACUUUGUAUCGGAUCCUCGUAAGCGCUAAAGCGCUAACGAUGAUCGAGAGACAGACUCGUUAUAG
rnacentral:misc_RNA from 1 species